CGAGGAUGAAAUGAAAAGCAAAGUGAUGCAACAAAUUGUACACAACCUUCGGAAACUCCAAGAUCAAGCAUCGUGCUUUAAUUAUCCUGGGGGAUGUCCUGAAGUACUUGAUGUAUCUAUGAGAGAGAAUUGCUGCAGCUGUACCGCAACGUUUGCUGAAGUACUAGAAAAGAUGGUGAAAAAUCUACGGGCUACAAAUUCCC